rnacentral:rRNA from 1 species
UACGGGGGGAGCAAGCGUUGUUCGGAUUUACUGGGCGUAAAGGGCGCGUAGGCGGUCGUGACAAGUCACUUGUGAAAUCUCCGGGCUUAACUCGGAACGGUCAACUGAUACUGCGCGGCUAGAGUGCAGAAGGGGCAACUGGAAUUCUCGGUGUAGCGGUGAAAUGCGUAGAUAUCGAGAGGAACACCUGCGGCGAAGGCGGGUUGCUGGGCUGACACUGACGCUGAUGCGCGAAAGCCAGGGGAGCGAACGGG